CAUCCUUCCGUUUUAGGGGCUCCGGCUCCAUUUUUUUUCUUUGACAGAGAUAAGCAUACACAGAUAGAGACAAAAGGAAGCAUACACAGAUAGGGGGAAUCAUUUCUGGAUAGGAGGGAUUAUUAUAAAAAGAAAGAUGAUAGAUCAUCUUCUUCAUUUUUUUUUCCCCACUCAAAACCGUGACCCACCACCUCCACCACCUCCAUUCCUUUCCACCAUCUCCCUCCACCCCAUUCACCACCGUUAAACCAUCCCUUUCUGCCUGAUCCACCACCGUUUCUCAACCACCACGUCACCAACGUCGUAACCCACCUGAAACCGGUCACCAAAAAUCAUAAGACCACCAUAGAAAAACACAUACAACACCAAACAGAUCCUUAAACCCCCCAUUUUAAACCAGCACCAAAACCCAAAAACUCGAAAACCCGUCUCCAUUUUCUCAAAAAUCGCCCGCUCAACUUGAGCAAAAGAAAAAAAAGAGUUAAAUGCUGUUAAGUUAGUCGAUUCAUCGUCUGUUCGUUGGGAUUUCGCGUUGAGGUCAUCGGAUUCCGGUCAAGGCGUCGCGUCAUUUGUUCCGUUCGAUUGGAAGUUUUGGGUAAAAUUAAUUCAAAAAUGGAGAUUUUGAUUAGGGACACUGGGGUUGGUUAUAAAUUCAGAUUAAUAUCUCAUUGAAGCUUUGUUUUACAAUUAAGGCCCGUAGGCAAACGUUAGGGUCAUUUAAUUUGCGUGUGUUUGCUUUUUGCUCGCUUUUACAUAUUAUGUAUUCAUUCUCGGGUGGGAUGUCCCGGAAGAAAACUAAAAUGUAAAAAUGGAGGCCGCGGUUACGGUGAUAAAAUUAGGGGUAAUGUCGUUUUCUUUAUACUCUUCUCUGUUUGGAUAUUCUGCUUUGUUGUAAUUAAUGGAGGUCUUGUUAAUUUAAUUAUUCGGUCGUA